AAGUCGUAACAAGGUUUCCGUAGGUGAACCUGCGGAAGGAUCAUUAUUGAAUUCCAACUGGAUGAGAUUGCUGCUGGCUCUCGAGCAUGUGCACAUCUCAUUCAUUUACCUCUCACCUCUGUGCACUUUUCACAGGACAACGGGUGGCUGUUGGCUUCAUUGCCUAUAGCUGCAAGUUGCUUUGUGUGCUUUAAAAACUCAAAACCAAGUUUAGAAUGUUCAUUGUGUAUCCACACAUUUAAAUACAACUUUCAGCAACGGAUCUCUUGGCUCUC
rnacentral:misc_RNA from 1 species